rnacentral:lncRNA from 1 species
GCAGGAACUCCCCUUUGGACAACAGGCAAACAAAGCGUGUUGAAAGCCAACCUUUUAUUUUGCUGUAAAGAUAUCUGCAUUACAAGUAUAAAGGUUAGAAAUUAUGGUGAACAUAUUUGAAACUACCAUCUCUGCCAGUACUGUUAAACAGCUGUGGUUCUGCUGUGCCUUGCAUCUCCUUGUCUUGCUGCCCAAGAUCUAUUUAGGUGGUGGCACGGGUUCUUUGUGGGAUCCCGUGCAUGCAUGUGCUCUACAUCUCAGAACUCAAUUCCUCCUCUAAAUGACUGGCAGAUCAUCAGCUAUUUACCCAAAUACGUAUUGGUGUGGUUAACUAUUAAAAUAAAAGACCACAGGCUAAAGCAAAAAAACCCAACCAAACCCCACAAAUACAAAACAUCUAGCUUUAAAAUAUAUUUCAUCACAAUAAGAACCAAUUAAAGACCAACCCGCAGGUUAAAGGGCAAUAUUGAGUUCACCUCAGACCAAAGGUUUGCCCCCAAAACAAAACUGUUAUAGAACUCAAAAUUCUUGUAUGUGAGGCGAUUCAUGUGUUACUUUCACCGCCUUCAUGCUUGGCUGCGGAAAUUUCUGGAGCAAGAAGAUAUACCUGUCAGUAAAGCCGUACACACUUUAACUGCUUGUAGCACAAAAAUGUAGUGUUUCUCAAUCCAGAAGCAUUCAUGCUUGUAUUCAACAUGCUGCUUUCCAUUUAGAUUGAUUCUAGAUCUUGCUAUACCUAAGGGUGGAUGUAGCUACUUGAAACAUGUUCUAAAGCCCCACCCUUUCAUUAGGUUUCCCAUGCCUUUUGCUCUUUCACAUGACUCAGGCAAAUGAAGUGGUGAUUGUGGCUUUUGUAUAUGCCCACCUACAAUGUAACUGGGGCAGGUGUGGCUAUGCCCCCCACUGACAGGGCCCUCAACAUCUGCUUUCAAAUGGAUACAUUUGGGGGUAGGGCAGACUCAAUCUGCAAUGAGCUUUUAUUUUUAGAAUGAAUCCGGUUUCUCUAAAAGUGCUUUUCGGUGUGUGUGGGGGGGAAAUAGGGAGAAGAUCUGGAUUUUGUGUGUAUACUACACAGGGAAAAAUGUACUCAAGUCUCUAUUAUUCUAUAAUAAAAUGUGUGCAUGCAGCUGAAAAAUGUUGUGUGUACGCAGCCUAGAAAGUUGCCUAGGCUUCCAAAGUUAUAACAGACACAAAACACUAGCACAAAAUGCCUCUGUGUAAGAAAGCCAUGGAAUAAGUUUAACUCUGCUCAGUUUGAUAAGGUUAAGCAAACGUUAAUGUUGAGAUUAUGGCUAGUGUGUAAAUUGGCAGUUUGAUGUUCUCACACUUCGCAAAAAACUUCUUAGAGAUAAAGAUUCCCCCCCCCCCCAUUAUGGUUCAAUGAAGAUGCUGCGUUGGAUUUGAAAAUAAGUUGUGGAAAAGCCAACUCCUUGAAAAAUCCUGAUACUAUGACCUAAUGUAAGGGAAUCCAUAGGGAAGUCAAAAAAUCGAAACUGAAAAGAACUAAAUUAUGGCCUCUUAUUUUCAGCUUUUUGUCAGCUUGAAAAUUAAAUGAGGUUCUAAAGCUUUGGACUGUAUCACUUCUGGCUUCAUGUUGGGGGUUGCAUAUUUUAAAAUAAUUAUUUCCCCAUAUAUAACUUUCCUUGCAUAUACCAUUGUAUCAGAGAUAUCCUUUGAUGUGCUACAUACAGGAGUCUUGUGUGAAAAAGCAUUUAACAACUAUGACUCUCCCCAUACCUACACUCUGAAAUGCAACAGUCCAAAAUUUUACCCUCUUUAUUUUGCAUGAGGAUAUAAACUUUCCCCACUUAUACUGAGAGCACGGGACCAAAUACAGCAGGCUCCACAAACCGGAUGCCUGCCAAAUGUCUAAAGACAAUUCCCAAGAGUCUCAGCCAGCAAAGGGGGCAGCAGGUGGGUGAAGGCUGCACUACAGCAUGGCUCCUUCGUGUGACGCUGGUACAGUAUAACGCAGCAUGUCCUGACCUAUAUAGGAGGAAGCUCAGGGUGUAAAGUGCAGCAGCUGGAUUUCUUCCAUAUAUCUCAGGGUGUUUGUAUGGGAGCAAGCUAUGUGGCAGCAACACACUACCAACAUUAACAGAGGGCCUCGGAAGCCACGUUGCCCACCACUCUUUAAAAUAUUGCAGAUUAAAUAUUUAUCUUACUGGAUUAUCCUCAAUUUGCAAAAAAAAAGUUUUAAGUAAUUUUAUGAUGCAGCAAGAUUAUUUUAACUCAGCAUAUUCUUCUUUGCGAAUACACAGGAAACCAGAUUUGUUAACACAUUUACUGUAUUUACAUUUUUAGGUAAAACAUCUUAUGUGAACAUCUGCACAUGUGAAGUAGCCUGUAAACCUUGAAUUGAGUAUUAUUUAGAACAGCCUACUUGUACUUUUAGGGACGUGGGUGGCACUGUGGUCUAAACCACUGAGCCUUGGGCUUGGCGAUCAGAAGGUCGGCAGUUCGAAUCCCCACAACAGGGUGAGCUCCCGUUGCUUGGUCUCAGCUCUUGCCAACCUAUCAGUUUGAAACCACAUCAAAGUGCAAGUAAAUAAAUAGGUACCGGGAAGGUAAACGGCGUUUCCCUGCGCUGCUCUGGUUCGCCAGAAGCGGCUUAGUCAUGCUGGCCACAUGACCUGGAAGCUAUCUGUGGACAAACGCCGGCUCCCUCGGCCAGUAAAGUGAGAUGAGCGCUGCAACCCCAAAGUCGUCCGCAACUGGACUUAAUGGUCAGGGGUCCCUUUACCUUACUUGUACUUUUAGGAAACUGCCUCAGACUAAGCCAGGGAUAGGCUGACUGUGGUUAUAUAUGGUCUACCGGGGUGUGAGUGUGUGUGAGAAGAAUACAUUUAUUAAGGGAGCAAACAAAACAAUUAAUUAAAAAGCCCCUCUAAAAACAAUUAUAUAAACUCAUAGUUAAUAUUUGUAAGGUUGCUGGGAUCAACAUAUUUCAGCCUGGGUGAAGAAUCUUGUUUUUAAUUUCCUCCCAAAUGUUAGAUAAAGGGGGACAGAUAUAUCUCACCAAUGUGGGCAUUCAGUAAAUACAGAAUUGCAACCAAGGCGGCCCUUUCACGUGUGAACACCUACAGUAUUUCACAGCCCCCGGGAGGAGUACCACCAACAGGGCCUCACCUGCAGAUUCUAGGGCCCAAAAUGGUUGAUGAUGAGGGAGAUGUUGAUUUAGGAACUUGGGCCCCAAGCUGUUUAGGGUAUUGUACAUAAAUGCUAACAUUGAAUUGGGCCUCGUAGCUCACUGGCAGAUAGUGCAGUGCUUUCAGGACCAAGUUACACAUGGUUCCACUAGGCUGUAAAUGUAGCAGCAAUAUAUUUUGCUAGCAGUAGCUUCUGCACUGUUUUCAAGCGCAGCUCCUACGUAGAGUAAAUUGGAGUAGUCCAGAUGGGUAGUCAACAGAGCAUGGACAACUGAGUCCAAGCCAUCCGAGUCCAGGAAUGGCCGUAACUAGCAAACCAACCCAAGCUGGUCAGGUUGGCCUGGGCAGUUUUGGUGCGAAAAGCAGACCUGAAACCAGUUUGAGUCUAGAUAAUCUGCUUCUUCCAGGCAUACCUGAUGCCAGAUGGCCACCUUGCCCAGGAAGGGAAUAUUAGAAACUGGUAGUUUCCUCAAAAAACUGUAUCUCAGGAAGAUCUUUUCAGGCGGGGAAUGGGCAUUCUUCCCAUUCAUUUAACCAUCUCAUACUAUAUUUUGCUAGUCAAAUGAGUUGGGAUCAAGAGGACUAUAGUCAGCCUCACUGCUGCAAGUGUUCCCUACACUUCUUCAGGCUAUACAACAAUGGAAACAGACCCCACGGGCUGUAACAAUAUGAUGGUCUAGAACCUCCAAUGGAACUGCACUAAUUGUGGCAUCAAGUUCGGCACAGAUCCGAGCAAUUUUGAUCUCAAAGUGCUUCACAUACCUCUCACAGCUGGCUGAGUGGUUGGUUGUUAAUUAUGAGAUACUGAUCUGAGCCAGCCAACUUACUGUUUUACAAAGCAAGAGCACACUUAAGAAGGACCUUGCAGCAUGUUAUUAAGGUCCACCUAGUCCAGGCUUCCUCAAACUCGGCCCUCCAGAUGUUUUGAGACUACAAUUCCCAUCACCCCUACCACUGGUCUUGCUAGCUGGGGAUCAUCUGGAGGGCCGAGUUUGAGGAAGCCUGACCUAGUCCAUCAAGAAUCCCAGGAACUAAGCAGUGUUAUCAGAUAUUGGCUAGCAGUCCACUGACAAGACCAUGUACUACCUUGUUCCCAUCUCUGGACUAAGCCAUACUGGAAGUGGCUUGCACUCUUGGACAGCAGUUCUAAGCAUACACACUGGCAAGUACAGUAAAAGCCACUUAAAUCAAUGGUACUGCUUUGUAAACAUGGCUAUGAUUGGUCUGUUUGUAAAGUAGUUUGCGUCACAUAAACAGUGCAUUUUUCCUCCUUGAGGAACUGUUUAAGAUUUUAGUGCAAACUAUUCUACUUGCUGCACAGAUCACAGAAGUGGCAAGGUUUUUUCCCCCUCCCUCAGAGGUGAUUAGGCUCACUAGUAAUUUUGCUGCGAGAGAGAUAGACAGGGCAAAGGUAAAAGGAAGCAGAAGCACGACAUAAUAGGCAAGAAUGACUAGCAACUUGUAACUAUUGCUUCCUGACAACCUGGACUUUGGUAAGUAGCAUGCCACCCCUUAUUGCCAUUGCUGUCUUAGAGGCGUUGGGUGUUAUGAUUUAAAAUAUUAAGUCUUUUCUGUUUUGUAAGCUGCUUUAAGUUCUUUUUUUUUUAAAAGGCAAGGUAUGUUGUACAUUUCUGACCUGGCUCUUUCCAUUUAUUUUACUAAACAAAAAACCUCUACUACCUGUUGUGAAGGCAGCGAUUACCAAGCAGUAUGUGUUGCUAUCCAAAAGACAGGCAGGAUUUAGGGUAGGGUAGGGUAGUGUAAAAUGGCCAGAUUAAAAGGACAAAGGGACAAUUAUAUGACGGACAUGAAGUUAAUUCAUAUUAAGAGUCUUACGUUCAAACUUGGGAAAACUGGGUGUCUGAAAUGUGUAAGGGAAGCUGGUAUGUCUCAGACACCAUCUCUUGCAGUGGUGAUCAGAAUCAAGGGCAUGGCAUGUGUUCCCUCUGUCAAGAGAAAGGAAAGCAUGAAGCAGAUUUAUUUAGGUUCUUUUUUUCUGGCCUAUGUAAAGGUUUACAGCUUUUCCUGAGACGUGAGGGGUUAAUGACUUAGUUAUGAUGCUCUCAAGCCAUCCUUUCCCCCUGCCUUCUGAUGCUGAACUUUAAAGGGCAGUCUGAAUAGCUACUGAUCAUCCCCCCUCUUUUCUUUUUCUCCCAAGGCUUUAAUAUAAAAAACCCUUUCUCUGUGUAUUUACGUAGCUUGCAUAAAGAAUGGGGCUAUCAGUUUGCAAAGUUUUCUAAAUUCAAAAUCAAGAAUUUCAUUGUCUUUUUUUAGAAAUUCUUGACAUAGGUUAGCAGCUUCCAUGUAUGCUACCCAUUUUCAGUACUUCCUCAGCUAAUCCUUAAUUGGGAACAAAACCAGUUACCUGCUGCAAGGAGUGCAGACCCCCUCCAGUUGCCCAGAGAGGCACCUGAAAUACCUGCCGUGCACCGACACUGACUGAUAACAGGAAAGCUUAGCCUUCUUAACUCCUUAAAACCGAGAUGAAAUAUGCUGUAAAGCAAAACAUAACCCCUCUGUCUUAAAACUGGGAGUUGUUCAAGAGCUUGACGCCUGGUAUUAAAAGCCUUGGUAUUGGUGGAUUCUUUUAAUUGUCAGGUUUAAGUAGAUGUUUCCAUCCCCUCUAAUUUUCACCAUUCUAAAAGUCUCAUUAGAAGUAUAAAUUAUAGAAUAAAGUACUGCCACCCAUCCUGAACCCUCAGGAUGGGGUGGGCUAAGCACAGAAAUAAUUAAUAAAGGGCAACAGCAGCAUAAGGUAUCUCGGCAAGGGAGACAGUGACUAGCACAGCCUGACAGUACAUGCUUUCCAGAUUAAAUUGGUUAAAGAAGGCAGGGAGAGGAACACAAAGAGAAUUCUGAAUGAUUCCAUUUACAACUGACUGGCGAUAAAUUGUGAUACGUAGCGGCACACAUAGCCUGCACCUCUGCCAAUCUGAGGAAGGAGAGCUCAGAUAUCUUCACAGGCAGCUUUACGCUGCAGCCCAGCCACACUAUGACAAGGGCGGCACUAACAAAUGUGACUUUGCAAUGCAAAAGGACCACUAUUGGAAGCUUUGGUGAGUUGUUUUGACCAAAAAACCACACCAAAAUCUGAUUACAAGUGACUUUAAGCCAUGUAAAAGGGGGGGGGGGAGAUGUUAAGAACAUUAAGGAUAGCAUUGUGGCGGGUUGGACUAGAUGACCCUUGGGGGUCCCUUCCAGCUCUAUGAAGUGACACCGAAAGAGGAAUUGUACCCAUCCCCAGAUUUGGGGGUGAGGUCCUACAUUCCUUCAGUCUCUGCACUUUAAAGCCUCUCUGCUACCCUUCUCCUUUCAACUUACUUUAGAAACAGGAGUUGUCUCCUUCAGAGAAAUUCUUUACAUGCAAAGUGGAGAUCUCUCCUCUCUCUCUUAAAUAGCAACUUAGAAACUGGAAGGUAUGACGACAUGGCUGCGAUGUGAGCAGCCAGCUGCUCUCAGGACAGCAUGAAAUAAGAAAAAAAAUAACGUCUGCGAGGAUCAAUUAUACUAGAGAAUUUCCUAAAUGGAAAGGCGGCGGCUUGACGCGGUGGGGGAAAAAAAGAUUCCUUGCCGGCCUCGCAGAGAGAGAGAGUUAAGGAAGCGAUUUGAAAAAUAAAGGCGGGAGAGGAAGAGGGCGCUGAUUUUGACACUGAAGAGGACUCUUUAAAAAUAUUUUUAACAAUAGGGAGGGAGCGCAUUUCAACUGGGGCGGGGAAGCCUAUGCGUGUGUCUGCAAAACGGGGAGCCCCAUGACAAGGAUUGGGGGGUGUCGAGAGGGUCCCCCCUUGGGUUGCCGUGUGAGAGAUCUCAAACUCUGUUAGAAACCAAGGCUGAGGGAAGGAAAGAGGCGGCAGCCGGCAUGGGCAGGAAGCGAGCGCGGGCCCUUCUUCCCCCAAGGCCGAGGCGAGCGGGCGAGACCUCCCGUCUCCUCAGCUAAGAGGCGAGGCCGGCGGGCUUCCCCGGCGGGACGAGGCCCUUCUCACCCACAGGCAGGCGGGCCGCCGCCGGGUCGAGCCCGGCCCUCUUCCUCUCCCCUCCCCGCCGCCCCUUCCCGCGGGUGUAUCGGUUACAGCAGCUGGCACAGGUGCGGCGGGGUUGCCCUUCAGACCCGCUCCGCCGAGGGAAACCUCAGGGGCGCGCAGGCAGGGAGGGAGAAGAGCGGGAGCCGC